CGGCACGGUGCCGGCGACGCGUGUGUUCAUCAUGGGUGUCGGCGUCGCGGGACUGCAGGCGAUCGCGACCGCGCGCCGCCUCGGCGCGGUCGUCACCGCGACCGACGUGCGGCCCGCCACCAAGGAGCAGGUCGAAAGCCUCGGCGCGAAAUUCCUCGCGGUCGAGGACGAGGAAUUCAAGAACGCGCAGACCGCCGGCGGCUACGCCAAGGAAAUGUCGAAGGAGUAUCAGGCCAAGCAGGCCGCGCUCGUCGCGGA
rnacentral:misc_RNA from 1 species